rnacentral:rRNA from 1 species
UACGUAGGGUGCGAGCGUGUCCGGAAUUAUUGGGCGUAAAGAGCUCGUAGGCGGUUUGUCGCGUCUGGUGUGAAAAUCCAGGGCUUAACCCUGGACCUGCAUCGGGUACGGGCAGACUAGAGUGCGGUAGGGGAGAUCGGAAUUCCUGGUGUAGCGGUGAAAUGCGCAGAUAUCAGGAGGAACACCGGUGGCGAAGGCGGAUCUCUGGGCCGUAACUGACGCUGAGGAGCGAAGCAUGGG